UGAAUGGUACUUGGACAUAACUUUUGGGGGCUAGGAAGCAUGAAAAAUGAGGGGAAAUAGUACUCCUAUUUAUAGGGAAAGUAAGUGGGAAAGGGGGUGAAACAAAAUGUACUAUGUGUAAAAAAUAGAGUUACUGUUGUUGUCCUCGCAGGUGUAAUCGAUUAUCAAGGUUGGUGUAAUCGAUUACAUGCACCAAAAAUGGCAUGGGAACCUGAUUUUUGCCAGGUAAUUGAUUACCAAGGUUGGUG
rnacentral:lncRNA from 1 species